rnacentral:tRNA from 1 species
GGUGGCUCAGGGGGUAGAGCACUUGCCUUGCAUGCAUGAGGCCCUGGGUUCGAUUCCUCAGUACCA